GGAAGGACGCCCGCAAGGUUACGUUGGCGAACAGGCUAUUAUUUCCCCUUCGAUGCGCACAGUCCGCUCUGCCAUUGGUCAGCUCUGCCAGAAAGGGGAGGGACUCGAGUCCAAGAAUCUUAAUAGAAAAACUCCAGACUGACAGGACGAAAGAAAGGGUGACAGUUCGAAAAAGACAGAGGACAAGGACGCUUUUACCCGGAAACUGUCUCCUCAGAAUAUUUUGAAAUUUUGCAGUUCUGUACAUCCACACUUUAAAGCCAGAUAAGUGUGCUUUUCUGGAUAAUUUUCUGGUGUUUUGUGAACUUUAUCUGAAGACAACUCAAUUGCCUCGACCGGGAAUGUUGUGUCCAGGUAGACAUUGUCAGAGACACAACGGAGACUGAUUUUAAUGAAGCAUGAUACCAGCGGUUGUCCAUUCUUGCAAACACUACAGUACAACCUACUAUCAAGACAUAUCGGGCUGCCUGUACCGCGAAAGCGGAGAGUUUAUUCGUCCCGGACCGGCAUAACUUGCCUAACGCUGUUAACUUUUUUACAUUUUCGUUGAUGAGGUGAAGCGGGAUAAAAAAAAUAUACAUGGUGCAGCUCGGCAGUUCCACUGGGAUGCGUCAAUUGCAUCCCCAAGCAGUUCAAUGGCGCUGUAAAGCUCGGAGAAUUGCCAGCCAUUCAUGGCGGGAAGAAAGCGCUUCUAUUUCACGACAUCAGAGGAAGAAAUAAACGAAACAUACGUGGACACCUGCUCAUCGAAUAUCUCAUUCCAAAAUCAUGGGCAUUAAUAUGGAGUUGGUCCCCCCCUUUGCUGCUAUAACAGCCUCCACUCUUCUGGGAAGUCUUUCCACUAGAUGUUGGACCAUUGCUGUGGGGACUUGCUUCCAUUCAGCCGCAAGCAUUAUUAAGGUCGGCAGGGUAGCCUAGUGGUUAGAGCGUUGGACUAGUAACCGGAAGGUUGUGAGUUCAAACCCCCGAGCUGACAAGGUACAAAUCUGUCGUUCUGCCCCUGAGCAGGCAGUUAACCCACUGUUCCCAGGCCGUCAUUGAAAAUAAGAAUGUGUUCUUAACUGACUUGCCUGCUUAAAUAAAGGUAAAAUUAAAAUAAAGUUAGGGCUCUGUGCAGGCAAGUCAAGUUCUUCCUCACCAAUCUCGACAAACCAUUUCUGUAUGAACCUUGCUUUGUGCACGGAUGCAUUGUCAUGCUCAAACAGGGAAGGGCCUUCCCCAAACUAUUGCCACAAAGUUAGAAGCACAGAAUCGUCUAGAAUGUCAUUGUAUGCUGUAGCGUUAAGAUUUCCCUUCACUGGAGCGAAGGGGAAUAGCCCGAACCAUGAAUAACAGCCCCCAGACCACUAUUCCUCCUCCACCAAACUUUACAGUUGGCACUAUGCUUUCUGGCAGGUAGCGUGAUUCAUCACUCCAAAGAAUGCAUUUCCACUGCUCCAUAGUCCAAUGGUGGCGAGUUUUACACCACUCCAGCCUAACACUUGGCCUUGCGCAUGGUGAGCUUAGGCUUGUGUGCAGCUGCUUGGUCAUGGAAACCUAUUUCAUGAAGCUCCCAAAAAAUAGUUAUUAUGCUUACGUUGCCUCCAGAGGCAGUUUGGAACUCAGUAGUGAGUGUUUCUACAGAAGACAUGAUUUUUACGAGCUUCAGCACUCGGAGGUCCCGUUCAGUGAGAUUGUGUAGCCUACCACUUAGCAGUUGAGCCGUUGUUGCUCCUAGACGUUUCCACUUCACAGUAACAGCACAUCCUAUUGACUGGGGCAGCUCUAGCAGGGCAAAAAUGUGACUACCUGACAUGUUGGAAAGGUGGCAUCCUAUGACGGUACCACUUUGAAAGCCACUGAGCUCUUCAGUACAGGGCAUUCUACUGUCAAUGUUUUGCUAUUGAGAUUGCAUGGCUGUGUGCUCAAUCUUAAACACCUGUCAGCAAUGGGUGUGGCUGAAAUAGCCGAAUGCACUAAUUUCAAGGGGUGUCCACAUACUCUCUGACUACCUGACAUGUUGGAAAGGUGGCAUCCUAUGACGGUACCACUUUGAAAGCCACUGAGCUCUUCAGUACAGGGCAUUCUACUGUCAAUGUUUUGCUAUUGAGAUUGCAUGGCUGUGUGCUCAAUCUUAAACACCUGUCAGCAAUGGGUGUGGCUGAAAUAGCCGAAUGCACUAAUUUCAAGGGGUGUCCACAUACUCUUGUAGUGUAUAAGCUUUGACUUCAUUUAGGUUAGAGGGUGUCCUGUCUCCAUGGUUUACAAUGUUAAAGGCAAUGUUGAAUAUAUUGCCUUUCCCCUCAAUUCACCAGGAGAGGGCAGACUAGCCUUGCAGAUCACACAUUGUGUAGGAAGUGCCAUAUAAUUACAGCAUUAAAUACUGUAUUAUCAAAGACAAUCUAUUAUAUAGACAAGAUAGUCAAGUGACUGCUCUUACCAUGGAAAUACAUGUCCUCAAAGAUGGAAUGCAGGUGGGAGGCGAGAUCAGGUGGGACAAUUCCAACCUGAACUAAGUCGUGCGGGAAUUCCACGUGAAUCCACUUAUAUCAGUACAUUUGUAGCAGCCUAAACAUUACGAAACGUGUAUCAGAUUAAAUAAACCUCACGUAAUUCAUAUCUGUCUCAGACCUCCAUACAAAACAAUCCCCACUUGGUUUUAUCACACGACCAUAUUUGGGGCAGAUUAAAUCCUCUCGCUUUGCCUCAUCUCUGAUAUUAUUCGGAAUACUAUAGGCUUUAUUCCACAUUGAACACUGCUUUUCUCCCCUCUUUCCUUUGACUCACCAUUGCAGGUUUGAAAAGACUGCAGAGAUUUAAGCAGGGUGUGCUCCAGCUAUUCAAAUAGGGUACAGGUGAAAGUGUUUGUGUUAGUGUGUGUGCUUCGUAAACAUAAGUCAAAAUAUGUUUUUUCAUCUAUUAUUGAGUAUAAUUAAUAAAGGCUUGUUGUGUAAUGAAUAAUGUGUGUGAUUGUCUCAAUGAGAGUAAAACAUUAAUGCGUUUGCUAUCAUCCUCAAAACUCUUGCGGUGCUGUUGGUCUCUCUUGAACUGUUUAUGGGAUUCACAUGCUUUCUCUCUAUUCCAAACGUUAUAUCACUCCUUCUCUCUCUCUGCCACAAGGAACUGAAACGUAGAGCAACAUAGAGCUGACCUGGUUAUUUCUGUGGUCAAUGAAAGAGCUAGCUGACCAACCUGCCUCACUCACACAUUCAGUGCCUUUAGAAACUACUCUCACCAUUUGACAUAUUGCAAAUUUUGUUGUGUUACAGCCAGAAUUAAAAUGGAUUACAUUUAGAUUUGUUUUCACUGGCCUACAGACAACAAAUUAAUUGGAAUUAUGUUUUUUCAAAUGUUUACUAAUUGUUUUUUUUAAAUGAAGCUGAAAUGUCUUGAGUCAAUAAGUAUUCAAUUUUUUAAUGACUACCUUAUCUAUGUACCCCACACAUACAAUUAUUUGUAAGGCCAUCAUUUGAGCAGUGGAUUUCAAACACAGAUUCAAUCACAAAGACCAGGGAGGUUUUCCAGUGCCUCGCAAAGAAGGACAGCUAUUUGUAGAUGGGUAAAAACAUUUUUUUAAAGCAGACAUUGAAUAUCGCUUUGUGCAUGGUGAAAUUAUUAUUUACACUUUGGAUGGUCUAUCAAUAUAUCCAGUCACUACAAAGAUACAGGCGUCCUUCCAAACUCAGUUGCCGAAGAGGAAGGAAACCGCUCAGGAAUUUACCAUAAGGUAAUAGUGAUUUUAAAACUGUUACAGUCUUCUUAGGGCUGAGAUCCUGCUAACGGGAUCGAUAUGACAACAGCCAGUGAAAGUGCAGGGCGCCAAAUUCAAAACAACAGAAAUCCCAUAAUUAAAAUUCCUCAAACAUAGAAGUAUUUCACACCAUUUUAAAGAUACACUUCUUGUUAAUGUCUGAUUUCAAAUAGGCUUUAUGGCAAAAGCACCACAAACGAUUAUGUUAGGUCAGAGCAAAGUUGCAGAGAGGAGUCACAAAAAUCAGAAGUAGAGAUCAAAUGAAUCACUAACCUUUGAUGAUCUUCAUCAGAUGACACUCAUAGGACGUCAUGUUACACAAUACAU